rfam:Xenopus laevis strain J chromosome 5L, whole genome shotgun sequence.
AUGCAGGAUUAGUUACAAUAUAGCUGGGCAGUGCUGUGUUGUCGUUCCCCCUGCUAAAAGUAAGUUGAUUCCUUCUAUUCCUGGCUGUUCAUAUAGCAGACAGGAACGCUUGGUCUCAAACAA